rnacentral:tRNA from 1 species
GGCUCCGUAGCUAAGCUGGUUAGAGCGCCAGACUAGUAAAGUGGAGGUCAAGUGUUCGAGUCACUCAGGAGCCU